UGCGUAGGCGGGGAGGUAAGUUCGUGGUGAAACCUGACGGCUCAACUGUCAGCCUGCCUCGAAAACUACCUCUCUUGAGUGCUGCAGAGGAGACCGGAAUUCCUGGUGUAGCGGUGAAAUGCGUAGAUAUCGGAAGGAACACCAGUGGCGAAGGCGACUUCCUGGGCCAAUACUGACGCUGAGGUGCGAAAGCGUGGGGAGCAAACA
rnacentral:rRNA from 1 species